rnacentral:rRNA from 1 species
UACGUAGGGGCCCAGCGUUGUCCGGAUUCAUUGGGCGUAAAGAGCUCGUAGGCGGUUUGUCACGUCGGAUGUGAAAACCCGAGGCUUAACCUCGGGCCUGCAUUCGAUACGGGCUGACUAGAGUUCGGUAGGGGAGACUGGAAUUCCUGGUGUAGCGGUGAAAUGCGCAGAUAUCAGGAGGAACACCGGUGGCGAAGGCGGGUCUCUGGGCCGAUACUGACGCUGAGGAGCGAAAGCGUGGGGAGCGAACAGG